rnacentral:rRNA from 1 species
GACAGAGGGUGCAAACGUUGUUCGGAAUUACUGGGCGUAAAGCGUGUGUAGGCGGCUACGUAAGUCGGAUGUGAAAGCCCCAGGCUCAACCUGGGAAGUGCACUCGAUACUGCGUAGCUUGAGUAUCGGAGAGGUUGGUGGAAUUCUCGGUGUAGAGGUGAAAUUCGUAGAUAUCGAGAGGAACACCGGUGGCGAAGGCGGCCAACUGGACGAAUACUGACGCUGAGACACGAAAGCGUGGGGAGCAAACGGG